rnacentral:rRNA from 1 species
GUGGGGAAUAUUGGACAAUGGGCGAAAGCCUGAUCCAGCAAUGCCGCGUGAGUGAUGAAGGCCUUAGGGUUGUAAAGCUCUUUUACCAGGGAUGAUAAUGACAGUACCUGGAGAAUAAGCUCCGGCUAACUCCGUGCCAGCAGCCGCGGUAAUACGGAGGGAGCUAGCGUUGUUCGGAAUUACUGGGCGUAAAGCGCACGUAGGCGGUUACUCAAGUCAGAGGUGAAAGCCCGGGGCUCAACCCCGGAACUGCCUUUGAAACUAGGUAACUAGAAUCUUGGAGAGGUCAGUGGAAUUCCGAGUGUAGAGGUGAAAUUCGUAGAUAUUCGGAAGAACACCAGUGGCGAAGGCGACUGACUGGACAAGUAUUGACGCUGAGGUGCGAAAGCGUGGGGAGCAAACAGGAUUAGAAACCCCUGUAGUCC